rnacentral:rRNA from 1 species
GACGUAGGGCGCGAGCGUUGUCCGGAUUUAUUGGGCGUAAAGAGCUCGUAGGCGGUGUGUCACGUCGGCCGUGAAAACCUGCAGCUUAACUGUGGGCGUGCGGUCGAUACGGGCAUCACUGGAGUUCGGCAGGGGAGACUGGAAUUCCUGGUGUAGCGGUGAAAUGCGCAGAUAUCAGGAGGAACACCGGUGGCGAAGGCGGGUCUCUGGGCCGAUACUGACGCUGAGGAGCGAAGGCGUGGGGAGCGAACAGG